UACAGAGGGUGGCGAGCGUUAAUCGGAAUUACUGGGCGUAAAGCGCGCGUAGGCGGCUUUGCAAGUCGAGUGUGAAAUCCCCAGGCUCAACCUGGGAACUGCAUUCGAGACUGCAUAGCUAGAGUAUGGGAGAGGGAAGUGGAAUUUCAGGUGUAGCGGUGAAAUGCGUAGAUAUCUGAAGAAACAUCAGUGGCGAAAAGCGACUUCCUGGACCAAUACUGACGCUCAUGUGCGAAAGCGUGGGGAGCAAACAGG
rnacentral:rRNA from 1 species